rnacentral:rRNA from 1 species
UUUAUUGGAGAGUUUGAUCCUGGCUCAGGAUGAACGCUGGCGGCGUGCCUAAUACAUGCAAGUCGAGCGAAUGGAUUGAGAG